AUACGUAGGGAGCGAGCGUUGUCCGGAAUUACUGGGUGUAAAGGGAGCGUAGGCGGGACUGCAAGUCAGAUGUGAAAUGCCGGGGCUUAACCCCGGAGCUGCAUUUGAAACUGUGGUUCUUGAGUGAAGUAGAGGCAAGCGGAAUUCCUGGUGUAGCGGUGAAAUGCGUAGAUAUCAGGAGGAACACCGGUGGCGAAGGCGGCUUGAUGGGCUUUUACUGACGCUGAGGCUCGAAAGCGUGGGUAGCAAACAGGAUUAGAUACCCUGGUAGUCCACGCUGUAAACGAUGAUUACUAGGUGUGGGGGGACUGACCCCUUCCGUGCCGCAGUUAACACAAUAAGUAAUCCACCUGGGGAGUACGGCCGCAAGGUUGAAACUCAAAUGAAUUGACGGGG
rnacentral:rRNA from 1 species